CACGCCCACACGGGCGCGCGCCUCCCGCCGUCCUCCUUCGCCUUCUUGCCUUUCUUUCUUUCUCUUUCUCUUUUCCUCCUUGCCGUGGGGAGAAAACUGUAGGGAACUGUGCCGCGUUUCUUCUUCUUGAUGUCUCCAGGCUUCUAGCAGAGCACUCCUGAAGAAUGUUGAAUUCUGCUGCCUUUUGUUAAAGACAUAUCACGGGAAGGAGUGCUGAUCAUGUUCAAUGGACUAGAGCAGGCAUGGACAAACUUCGGCCCUCCAGGUGUUUUGGACUUAGGCGGCUGAGGGGGGAAAGGAAAGGGCCUGAGGCUGUUAGGAAUUGUGGGAGUUGGAGUCCAAAACACCUGGAGGGCCCAAGUUUGCCCAUGCCUGCUCUAGAGCCACAGCUUAAAGGUAAGACCUAGUAUCCUGUCAUAUUGUCAUCAAACAGAUUAGAAAGGAAUACAAUCAAAAAAACAUGCAACAUGACUAACUUCAAAAUGAUAUCUUAUUGUGAAAAUAAAGAACAGUUCAACAAUGGAACCAGUUCCCUAGAGAGGGGGUUCUUUGGCUGUCUUUUAAAAAGGCUAGGAUGCAAUGGGAUGGAAGUGCUUUAACUGACAAUUCUGUAUUGAGCAGGGGGUUGGACUCAACGGCUUGUGUGUCCCAAUGCUACGAUUUUAUGAUUCCAGUCAUCUGCUGAGAAUUCAGGCUUGAUUUGUUCUAGGACCCAUUCAUUUGACUUUUUAGUGGUCCGUGGUAUCAUAGAACCCUUCUCCAGCACUGCUGUGAUGGCACACCCGAGCCUUUGGGAAAACUGUAGUGUCUGGCUUUACUCGUGGGCUAUCUGUAUACCUUCUGUUAAGAUCAAGACCCUUAACAUAAAGAGGCACUUUAGGCAAAGUGAAAAGAUAACCAAAAUGAGUUUACUGAAAACAAGAUGGAUAAAGAUAGCUUAGAACAAUACAUUACGAAGGGAGAUUUUGCUGGUUGCAGUAAUUUCUCUGGAAUUCUUGAAAGUAUUUUGCCUCUGAUGCAAAGCGAUGGUUUACACGCUGGUACUUGUAAGAUGUCUCGAUCUUCUUUGUAAAACUUAGGCUGACCAAAAGCUUCUGUUGUCUCUGGGACUGGUGGUAUAUAAAUACUGCUGAAUGCAGUGUUUCGUGCUAACACUGCUAAGGAUGCCUAUUUUGGAUUGCCUGGGCCUAGGGUUCUAGACAAUGACCAGGCCUCAGGUCUCUCUAGCUCUACUGCAGAAAAAAAGGAGUCUAGUCACAGAGCUCUAUACAGGUGAAUGGAAUAGACCAACUAAAGCUGGCCUGUAGUGAGAUUUUAUGCUUCACCCAAAACUAAUACAAAGUGAGGUAUCUACACUAUUGGGAAAACCUAUAAACAGGAGGAACUAAAACAAAGGAGAGGAAAAGGCAGACUUCACAAUUGCAUUUUAAAUGAAUUUAUUCUCUUCCUGCCAGCUUUCUGUACUGUCCAGUUUUCACAGUCAUGCAUAGAAAUUGAAAUUACUAUGGUAUAGAGGAAUGACAUGAAUAUUGGUCAAAUCUUUCACUUGAGGACCAUAUUUAGUUCAUGUAUAGCUAGUACCUUUUAGUCUUUCUCUGAUUUCUUGAUUACAUCUUUUAUGACGCCUCCUCUAUGUGGCUGUAAUGCCUGGAACUCUGUUUAUUUAUUUUAUAGUAUUGUAACAAUCCAGUUUGUGGAGCCCCCGAUGGCGCAGUGGGUUAAACUGCUGAAUUGAUGAACUUGCGGUCUAAAAGGUCAGUGGUUUGAAUCUUAGCAGUUUGAAAACAAGCAAAUGUGAAUAGAUCAAUAGGUACCACACCGGCUUCAUGCAGUCAUGCCGGCCAUAUGACCUUGGAGGUGUCUACAAUGCUGGCUCUUUGGCUUAGAAAUGGAGAUGAGCACCAACCUACAGAGUUGGACACGACUAGAUUUAACAUCAGGGGAAAACCUUUACCUUUAGCAAGCUAGUUUACAUUGAGUUGGAUUAUUGGUAGCUCAGUCCUUCUACCUACAGUGACUCUGGAAAAAUCUCUUCAGGAUUUCAGGUGAGUGUCUUUUUCAGCAUACUGAGAGGUGUAAUGGAUUGAACCUGAAACCUUUGCAUGCAAAAUAUGUGUUCUGCCAUUCCGUGAAGGUCCUUCCAUUGUACAUGAGAAACUCAUCACAGUUCCCCAGAGUUCCUAUGUACUUCAUAUCAGAUUCUCUGGUUUGCCUUUUUAAGGUUGAACAUAUGCAAGAUCACCCAGUUUAUUAACACCCAUUUUCUUUGCAUUACAGGUACUAUUCUUUUCUUACAGAAUGCCAUCAUGUUGUUCUCUAGGCUCAGGGACAGAUGGGUAUAACAUGAAUUCAGCUAAGCCCUGAUACCGAUAUACUUGUUUUUAUUUGCUUCCCCAAACUGACAAGUUUGUAGUUAAUCCAAACCACGGACUUGCCUUGCUGUUUCCCUGAGAUUCAGAGUUGCUUUUUUCAAAUGAUAUAAAUUAUUUGGCUUGGCUGGGAGUACCUGGAAGGAUUCCAGCAAAACCUUUUAUCCAACACCACAAGAAACAAAACAUUCUGAAGGAAUAAAGAAUUAUUUUCCCCAUCCCUAUCCCACCCCUGUGAAUGUGACCUGAAGUGAACAUUUCAACAAAAAACAUUGCUGGUUCAUGUUGUGACAUUUUCUCUAUUUGUUAAUUACAUUCCAUUGUUUUCUAUAAUAAAAAACUAUAAGUAUUAUUGGAAGAGGGUUUUAUUUUGUUUAUCCCGUUCCUUUGAUGGAAUAUUAUGCAGGUUCCAGAUGAUAAUGGCAGAGAAUCCACAGGAAUUGUAUUGCCUUAAUAGCAUAGUUCUGCCCCAUGCAAAAGAUACAGUACUGCCCAACAUUAGCUUACUAUCUCCAGCCAUUUCAUGGGCAGAGAACUAAUGACAUGGGCAGAAACUGAAGAAUGGCCUGCCUCAGUGGAGCGUGCUUACUCCAUCAAUGUUUAACAUUUACACAAAUGAUCAGCCACUGCCAGAAGGGACAGAGAGUUUCAUCUAUGCUGACGAUCAUGCCAUCACCACCCAAGCAGGGAGCUUUGAAAUGGUUGAACAUAAGCUCUCUGAAGCUUUAGGUGCCCUUACUGCCUAUUACAGGGAAAACCAGCUGAUUCCUAAUCCAUCUAAAACACAAAUGCUUUUCACCUUAAGAACAGACAAGCACCAUGGAUUACCUGUGAAGGAAUCCCACUGGAGCAUUACAGUACACCAUGUUAAAACAGAGGACGUGGCUACUAAUGAGACAUCUCACAUUAUCACAGGAUGUCUACACCCCAUACCACUGGAGAAAUUAUACUGUUUAGCCGGUAUUGUACCACCUGACAUCUGCCAGAAAGUAGCAGCCAACAAUGAAAGGGCCAAGGCAGUGACAUCUCCGGCCCAUCCCCCGUUCGGAUAUCAGCCAGCAUGCCAACGCCUUAAAUCAAGAAAUAGUUUUCUAAGAUCUACAGAGAUACUCACAGGAACAGCUCAGCAAGAGAGAGUCCAAAAGAGGCAGGCUAAAAUCCAAAACCUCAAGCCUUGGCUGAUACUGAAUGAGAGAUUCCCUCCUGGACACACAGAAGACUGGGCAACUUGGAAGGCACUGAACAGAUUGCACUAUGGCAUGACAAGAUGCAGAGCCAAUUUUAAGAAAUGGGGCCACAAAGUGGAGUUCACGACCUGUGAGUGUGGAGAAGAGCAAACCACAGACCACCUGUUACAGUGUAGUCUGAGCCCUGCCACAUGAACAAUGGAGGACCUUCUUAUAGCAACAGAGGCACUAGUCAAAGGACAUUUAGUAUAAAGCCAAGUUUUUUUAAACUUUAUGUUUUUACAUUACAACUGUACUCUCGGUUUGCUUCUGAGACGAUAAAUAAAUAUGGGCAGAGGA